GGGGAUAUAGCUCAUAUGGUAGAGCGCUCGCUUUGCAUGCGAGAGGUACGGGGUUUGUUACAACGCAUCUCCA
rfam:Ipomoea nil DNA, scaffold: scaffold1317, cultivar: Tokyo-kokei standard.